rnacentral:rRNA from 1 species
GUAGGUGGCAAGCGUUGUCCGGAAUUAUUGGGCGUAAAGCGCGCGCAGGCGGUCCUUUAAGUCUGAUGUGAAAGCCCACGGCUCAACCGUGGAGGGUCAUUGGAAACUGGGGGACUUGAGUACAGAAGAGGAAAGCGGAAUUCCAAGUGUAGCGGUGAAAUGCGUAGAGAUUUGGAGGAACACCAGUGGCGAAGGCGGCUUUCUGGUCUGUAACUGACGCUGAGGCGCGAAAGCGUGGGGAGCAAACAGAAUUAGAUACCCUGGUAGUCCACGCCGUAAACGAUGAGUGCUAAGUGUUAGGGGGGUUUCCCGCCCCCCUUAGUGCUGCAGCUAACGCAUUAAGCACUCCGCCUGGGGAGUACGGCCGCAAGGCUG